AAUAAUAAUAAUAAUAAAUAACAAUCUUAUCGAGACUGCCAACCUGUUACAUUGGCAACAUAUUUCUGAUAUAGAGAAUAAAUGGGACUGACAAAGACAACAAGAACAUUGAAAGCAAAAGAACAUGUGAAUGGGAAAUGUGAACAUGUUUGAGAUGCAACCCGUGGCCUCCUGAUGGUGGGGUUUUCAACUUCGAAGGAUAUUUGCUUCCAGCAGACUGAUCUAAAUAAGUGAAACAAAAUUCAGGUCAUGCCACCCAGAUUAGCAACCUGCAGCUUGGCUAAUUUCCAUGGGAGUUCCUUUGGCCCACCCAUGGAAAAUCCGACCACCAUCUAUAAAAAUACCUGACACUUUGCAAUGCCUCCUCUUUUUCAAAAUUUUCAAGCAAAAGGUAGACUGAUUAGCUGUCAAUCUGAGAAUAAUUCUUAUCGCACAGCCGACUCCUGAGUGACUUGGAGAUUUUAUGCCUACCUAGGUCCUUCAAUUUGAAAGAUUGCAUGAUAACAGUCUCUACUCCACACCGACAUCAUAUUUCAGCCAGCACCCGGUUCAUCCUCCUCUCAGGAAGUCCCUUCUAUGAAAUUCUGGACGUAUCACUCUUAAUUCCUUCACAAAUGAUAGUAAUGUCCAAGCUUAACAGCUGCAAGGAAAUUACACAUCUCCCCAGCAUCCUCUUGCUGGCCAUCAACAGUAUGCUCCCUGACUGGAUCACUCUUGACCAGAGUGUCUUCCAUCAGUUACAACAUGAAGAGGACCACUGGACUCAACAUUUUCUCUCUGACACUCAUAUGAUGUACAUGAAUCAUUUUCAAUAUCAAAGUCAUCCCCCUCGUUACUGGGAAUCCCUUUGAAAAGUUCAAAGCCACCAUCACCACCACAAGCAUUGUUGGAAAUACCAACAUAUGCUUCUGAAAUAUCGUCUAUAUCUCCCUCAUACUCCUCAUCAGUUGCAACUCUCCGAACAUCAUCAUCAGCACUCUCUUUGGAAGCACCAAUUUCAUCUUCAUCCUCAUCCUCAAUGUGUUCAUUGCAAUCCUCUGCAUGAUCCUCCUGAUAAUAAGCAGAAGCGUCUUUUCCACUCAGAGAUUCCACUGCAGAAUCCUCAUCCCCUUCUGUCAUUCCAGCUUCACUUCUUUGCCACUCAUCAUUAUCACUGUCAAUAUUUAGCAGGUCAAACCUAUUCUGCUCAGAACGUCUCCGAAGCAUGAAUACAUUGAAAUAAUAACUGACAAGCUCCCUUUUUGUUUGGCCAGGGAACACUGCUGGCAGAUGAUCCCAAAAGUUCUUGCCCAACGAUGCAGGGUUUGAUAGGACUACAUCAUGGAAGAGUUGCUCCUCCUCUUCAGUCCAUUUCUUUCCUACAUCUUCCCCCAUAUCAUAAAAACCCAGCCCAUCAAAUAUCUCCUCCCCAAGGUUCUCCCUAAGUUUCUGCCUAGCUUCCAUGAUGUGCUGUUUUACACAUUCAAUAGAUCCCUGAUCAAGGCAACUACAGUCAGUUUUGGUGCCUUCGCAGCAAUGGGUUACAGAUGCUUCCAAAUCAGGCAUAGGAAUAACACAAACACCCGUCAGCCUCUCCUCAUAACCAUCAUGAACUAGGAUACUGGGGCUAGAUGAUUGUGCAAGCACAACUUGGGGAUUAGACUUGUCUAGCUUAUUAGAAGAGGUAUCUGGACCCUCCCACUCUGGAACAAAAGCUUGAUGCCCUGGUCCAAUUGAAACUGGCUUCCGAAAAGGAUAGUCAAGAGAUGAGAACACCUCAUCAGGCUGCAUUAAAGCCCUUAGCUGGUGUCCAUGAUCAAAAUACUCUGGGAAAACUGAGAGGUUAUCUGCUUCAAGAAUUCCGUUGUUGAUCCAAAAAAAAUGGGGCAAAUAGCCAGAAGGACCACUUUCUAAGCUGUUGGGGUCAUUUGAAACAACUGUGACCAAAUCAUUUGCAGAGCUCCCAACAUCUUGACAGUUACAGAGACUGUCAUCACCAUCUGAAAUUACAGCUUUCUGGUGAGAAUCAUUAGGAGGGGCAAUUGGAGCAAACUGUUCAAUGUGUUCAAGGUGUCUAGGGUGCUUACAAGCAACCUCAUAAGAAUCAUCGUCAACAAAAGGCCGUUUGUGAAUCAUUUUUUACCUAAAGAAUAGCCGACGAAAAAUGAUAAAAUCACAGGAUCGACGAUAAGACGAUGAAGUUGAACAAUACACAAACCCCAGUUAACAAAAUCAAAAUUCUAGAUCCCUAAUUUUUGUUACAAUUAAACACCAGUUUCCAGCAAAUUAAAACACAUACAAGGAUGUCACUCUGUGUAGAAAAAUUGAAUCGAACAGAAAAUCGAUAGAAACGAAAAUUUUCAAAACUUCAAAAAAAUCAAAUAAUUUCGACCGACCCAGAUGAAUUGACCGACAAAAAACUAAUAUAAACAACUAGAUUUAAAGAUCGAACAAAACCCCGCCUUAAAAUAGCAGUAUUAUUGAGGACCUGAAAACCCUAACCCUAGAAAUGAAUCGGAGGCCCGGCGAAGGAUAAAUUUACGAUCAAUAUAUAGAGGAGAAAGCGAAUCGAAACAAAUGAGGAUCGAAUUGAAGAACAGAGACAGAGAUCAGAAGAAUUUCUGAUCGAAAUGUAUGAAGAUUUUGGAUCGAGAAAAGGGUAAAGUCAGGGCCAAAUAUAUAGGAAAUUUAAGGAGCGUUCGGUGAUCCGAUGAAAGAAACUUUUGGCCCUGGAGGUCCGUGGCGACAAUUGAAUUACCAAAAGGAGAAAGAAUCUUGC
rnacentral:misc_RNA from 1 species